rnacentral:tRNA from 2 species
GCAGUCGUGCCCGAGUAGUUAAGGUGAUGGACUAGAAAUCCAUUGGGGUCUUCCCGCACAGGUUCGAAUCCUGUCGACUGCG